UGGUACCUUCUCAGUAAUCGAUUCGAUAUAUCGAUAUUUCGUGCUUACAUCACAAAAAGAAAAUGUGUAUAAAUUCCAUCUCACAUGGCUGUCGGGGCAAAAUAAUAGGAGAGACUGACGAUUCGGAUAGUAGCAGUUAAGAUAAUUGUCUUUUUAUUAUCAAACGGAGUCAUUAGCUGGAGUGAAAGUGAUCUCAUCAAUGACCUAUCAAAACAUGGUCAUCAACAUUGCAAGAUUUGGGCUCCAUUCAUAACUUCUCAUCAUAAAUACUGAUAUACCUGUAUGUAAUGUAAUGUAAUAAAAUUUAUAUUGACUAUGUAUACUGAUUGUUUUAUGACAGCUAAUGUCAUAUACGAUUUAUGUCCACAAUUUAAAUAUGAAUAUUGAUAAUAUUUCAGUAAAUACAAAUGAUCAAUUUUAAUAGAUUUUAAAGCUUAGACGCCAACAUGUUCGCUCCCAGAGUGCAACAGGUGCGAAUGUUGUAUACACAGGCAUAUAAAACUGUUUAAGCACACAAAGAGUUUGCCAUUAGAAUCAACAAACACGUUUGCUGCAGACAAGUUGUAAAGCAGAAGAGCUUGAGUACAUUCUGAUGGCUUUUACAAACUUUUGUACUGAGUUCCACGGGGGGGCUAACUAACUGCCCUUCCGGCUCUGACCAGCAGGACGGCUUGCCAAGCGCUGGAAGAUGCCCCGCGGAUGCCGCAUAAUUAAAAGCAAUUCGGACGUCCUCUGCCACUUGUUGGCGUCGUCUACUUGUUGGCGACAGCAGCAGGACUGUGCCAAGAGUCGAGCUUUAAUGAAAUUACUUUGGUAGCAGAACACAAUAUUAAAAUAAAUUACAAGAUAAUAUGAACCGCUUAAAGAGUUAUUGAAGCUUUGAUUCAACCUUUCACUGGGGAGAGUCAUUAGCCCGAGGCUCAUGUGCUGGGAGCCAAAUAUGUUAAAUACGAGGCAGACAAGCAGCAAGCAUUUCGCUGCAAAUCGCAACAGGAGCCACAAUUAUGCCACAUGGCAACGUGCGAGUCGUUGACGUGUGCUGCUGCUGAGUAUUUACCCAAAUGUCGCAAUAUCCUGCUACUGCAUCCUGUUCGUACUCUUUUUCGCAUUCGAACAAUGCGUGCAUUCAAUUCCCCAAGAGAUGAAUUAAAAACUGCAUCAGCAGCAAGCGCCUGACAACUUUUAUGAAAUAGCAGAAAAAAAGAGCUAAAAAAAAAAUAAAAAAAUAAAAAAUAAAACAAGAAAAAAGUAGGAAUAUUCCAAUGAAGAAUGAAACACUAAAGGGCAACCCCUUGUGCCCGGGCCCCUUGCUCAGCGGCCCAGUGGGUGCAGAGGGAACGCUUAACCAUUGUCUAAGCGCUGCCGGCUAAAUAGCAGGAAGCAGUUCUAAACAGUAGAAAUCAACAGAAAGCACUUGCAACGGCAACAGAGUGGCGCCUCGAGUGUUUACAGCAAUUCAUUUGCGCCUCAGCUACCAGAGCUCAACAAUGGGCCAACAGUAGUUGCAAGCGUGCGUCAAAUGAAUAUGUUUUUCUUCAUUUCUGCCUUGCCUGGCCUUUGCCUGAAAAUAAACUUAAAGCCAGGUCCGCACUGAUGACUGUGGUCACAACCUGUAAACGAAUAAGUAACAACGACAACAGCAACAACAACAAGCCGGAGUCUAUAUCUAUGCCCUUAUUGCAUUUCAGUUGUGGCCACAUUUAUUUAGCUACCCUUCGCCACAGACACUCGGCCACUGAGUAAAUAUGAAAGAAGCAAAGAAAGAAAGCCAAACGGAGCUGAAGACAAGCAGCCGAUGCUGCUGCUGCUGCUGCUGCUGCGGGCCAUCAUUCAACCUGUCAAGGACAUCGGCAGGACCAUCUACAACGACAGCAGCAGCAGCUGGAGCCGGCUGGGGCUAUGAAAGUAAUAGUUCAGCUGCGGCUGCUUUGAUGCGGUCCGAGAGCUGCACAAAUAUGUGCUCAAGGUGAGCAAAUCCCUAAAUGCGUUGCUGAGCGCCAGACUAAGAUGAUUAUGAGCUCGGAAUGAUUAUGAGCUCCGAUAAGAAUGACAGUGUUAACA